AUUGAACGCUGGCGGCAGGCCUAACACAUGCAAGUCGAGCGAGCGGCGGACGGGUGAGUAAUGUCUGGGAAACUGCCUGCUGGAGGGGGAUAACUACUGGAAACGGUAGCUAAUACCGCAUACCAUCAGAUGUGCCCAGAUGGGAUUAGCUAGUAGGUGGGGUAACGGCUCACCUAGGCGCCGAUCCCUAGCUGGUCUGAGAGGAUGACCAGCCAGACUGGAACUGAGAAACGGUACAGACUCCUACGGGAGGCAGCAGUGGGGAAGAUGGCACAAUGGGCGCAAGCCUGAUGCAGACAUGCCGCGUGUGAGAAGAAGGCCUUCGGGUGGUAAAGCACUUUCAGCGGGGAGGCGUAACCCGAAGAAGAAGCACCGGCUAACUCCGUGCCAGCGGCCGCGGUAAUUC
rnacentral:rRNA from 1 species